rnacentral:rRNA from 1 species
AAGAUUAAACUGAAGAGUUUGAUCAUGGCUCAGAUUGAACGCUGGCGGCAGGCUUAACACAUGCAAGUCGAGCGGAAACGAUGGGAGCUUGCUCCCAGGCGUCGAGCGGCGGACGGGUGAGUAACGCGUAGGAAUCUACCCAGUAGAGGGGGAUAGCCCGAGGAAACUCGGAUUAAUACCGCAUACGCCCCAAGGGGGAAAGGCCGGGAUCUUCGGACCGGUCACUAUUGGAUGAGCCUGCGUGAGAUUAGCUUGUUGGUGGGGUAAUGGC